ACUGAGAAGGUUUAUAGUCCUGUGAGUUCAACACUGCAGGACUCAGAUCUGUCAGUCAAGCCAGCAGAAGCAACAAGCACCAUGACCCUCAUCACCAUCCUCAUCUGGACGCUGAGCUGCUGCUGUUUUACAGGAUGCAGAGCUCAGAUCACUGUGACUCAACCUGCAGUGAAGACGAUUACACCAGGAUCCACUGUCACUAUCAACUGUAAAACAAAUCAGAAUGUUUACAGAUGGUCGGAUGGUGACGAGGGUAUGUUCUGGUAUCAGCAGAAACCAGGACAACCUCCAAAACUCCUGAUACGCUCUGUCAGCACACUUCACUCAGGAACUCCAGCUCGGUUUAGUGGCAGUGGAAGCGGCUCUGACUUCACUUUGACCAUCAGUGGAAUUCAGGCUGAAGAUGCUGCAGUUUAUUAUUGUCAGAGUCACCACAGUGGCUACGUGUUCACACAGUGA